rnacentral:rRNA from 1 species
UACGUAGGGGGCAAGCGUUGUCCGGAAUCAUUGGGCGUAAAGAGCGUGUAGGCGGCCCGGUAAGUCCGCUGUGAAAGUCCAGGGCUCAACCCUGGGAUGCCGGUGGAUACUGUCGGGCUCGAGUCCGGAAGAGGAGUGUGGAAUUCCUGGUGUAGCGGUGAAAUGCGCAGAUAUCAGGAGGAACACCGAUGGCGAAGGCAGGUCUCUGGGCCGAUACUGACGCUGAGGAGCGAAAGCGUGGGGAGCAAACAGG